AGUGAACGCUGGCGGCAGGCCUAACACAUGCAAGUCGAACGGCAGCACAGGAGAGCUUGCUCUCUGGGUGGCGAGUGGCGGACGGGUGAGGAAUACAUCGGAAUCUACCUUUUCGUGGGGGAUAACGUAGGGAAACUUACGCUAAUACCGCAUACGACCUUAGGGUGAAAGCGGAGGACCUUCGGGCUUCGCGCGGAUAGAUGAGCCGAUGUCGGAUUAGCUAGUUGGCGGGGUAAAGGCCCACCAAGGCGACGAUCCGUAGCUGGUCUGAGAGGAUGAUCAGCCACACUGGAACUGAGACACGGUCCAGACUCCUACGGGAGGCAGCAGUGGGGAAUAUUGGACAAUGGGCGCAAGCCUGAUCCAGCCAUGCCGCGUGGGUGAAGAAGGCCUUCGGGUUGUAAAGCCCUUUUGUUGGGAAAGAAAAGCAGCCGGUUAAUACCCGGUUGUUCUGACGGUACCCAAAGAAUAAGCACCGGCUAACUUCGUGCCAUCAGCCGCCGUAA
rnacentral:rRNA from 1 species